rnacentral:rRNA from 1 species
GACGAACGCUGGCGGCGUGCCUAAUACAUGCAAGUCGAACGCAGUGGGGACGGGUGAUUAACACGUGGGUAACCUCCCAUCAGAGGGGAUAACACUUGGAAACAGGUGCUAAACCGAUACUGAUGGAUGGACCCGCUGUGCAUUAGCUAGGUGGUGGGGUAACGGCGCACCAAGGCCACGAUGCAUAACGGACCUGAGAGGGUGAUCGGCAACACUGGUACUGAGACACGGCCCAGACUCCUACGGGAGGCAGCAGUAGGGAAUCUGCGGCAAUGGACGAAAGUCUGACGGAGCAACGCCGCGUGAGUGAAGAAGAUUUUCGGAUCGUAAAACUCUGUUGUUAGAGAAGCGGUAUCUAACCAGAAAGCCACGGCUAACUACGUGCCAGCCGCCGCGGUAAUUC